CCUACGGGAGGCAGCAGUAGGGAAUAUUGGUCAAUGGAUGGAAGUCUGAACCAGCCAUGCCGCGUGCAGGAAGACGGCCUUCUGGGUUGUAAACUGCUUUUGCCAGGGGAUAAAAGGCCCAUGCGUGGGACAUUGAAGGUACCUGGUGAAUAAGCCACGGCUAACUACGUGCCAGCAGCCGCGGUAAUACGUAGGUGGCGAGCGUUGUCCGGAUUUAUUGGGUUUAAAGGGUGCGUAGGCGUCCCUGCAAGUUUUAGGUGAAAUGCCCAAGCUCAACUUGGGAGCUGCCUGAAAAACUGCCGGGAUUGAGUACAGAUGAGGUAGGCGGAAUUGACGGUGUAGCGGUGAAAUGCAUAGAUAUCGUCAAGAACACCGAUAGCGAAGGCAGCUUACUAAGCUGUAACUGACGCUGAUGCACGAAAGUGUGGGGAUCAAACAGGAUUAGAUACCCUGGUAGUCCACACUGUAAACGUUGAUGACUCGCUGUUGGCGAUAUACAGUCAGCGGCCAAGCGAAAGCGAUAAGUCAUCCACCUGGGGAGUACGCCGGCAACGGUG
rnacentral:rRNA from 1 species